AAAAAGGUCCUUUUCAGGACCACUCCUCAACAUUAUUUCAAUCAAU
rfam:Phlebotomus papatasi Contig103415.1, whole genome shotgun sequence.